rnacentral:lncRNA from 1 species
UUGGAGACCGUAAUUGUGUUGUGCUCAUUUUGUUAUCGCAGGAAGCAUCUUCAAAAGGCAGUGCUACAAAGAUGUGAGCAGCAGUUUCCCUUCAACAAACGGGUAGAAUGCAUGGAAGCCACGUUCCUGCUGAUUCUGGCCUACACAAACAUGCAGCCACCAUAGUAAAGUUCUUGCAAAGACAUUCUACACAAACUUGCCCAGAGGCGGAAGGAAGGCAUGCACAGAUAGACGCACAGAAAUCAUGGCGCUUCCGUAGAAGCUGUGAGUAAGCAUUAAGCUACGUACAGAAAUGAGCGAAGUGGAGCUGUCCAUGGGCCGUGCGCACAGUUUCAUAAGCAGGCUUGCAACACCUUUGACAAUUAUGUUCCUGAAUACAUCUGCCAAUGUGGCAUUUAAAGAAGCAUGUAGUAGUGUACUUCAUUGUUUAUUUGGCAUGAAGUAGCAUGUAUGCUUCAUUCAUUUGCAAGUUCACACAGUAAAGUGCAUAUACACAUGACAUACUACCCCUCCCCGCCCCAUCUACCAGCUCGGGAUGUGUAGCUUGAUUGUAAAAUGUU